GAUAACGUGUGGCUAGUGGGAAGAAAAAUUCUAACUUUUAUAUAUAUAAGGCGUGAGGUGUUUCAUUUGGAUACCCUGACGGGCGGAGAAGUUAUGCAUGUAGCAUAUACUUAUUCGUUUUCCUGCCUAUACGCAACCCUAACGUAAGCGUUUAGUUUCUGACAAAAUGGAAUUGAUAAGCUACGACCUAUUUAUUGGUAUGCAACUUCAAGGGAAACGAGUUACAUAGAAUUAGGCUGGUGGGUAGCGAUGUUCGUUGCAGUGGAGGCACAGGUCGUCAUCCGCCCAGCUCUCUGCUGCCCAUCCGAAAAGCGGUGGAUGCCUGUUUGCUGGAUCCAAGUCCAGAAUUUCUUUAAAGCGCUCCGUCACUUUCCGCCAUUUUCCAAGUUCGAUACAUCGAACUAAUCCUAGAGUGAGCGAGCGGAUUACGUCGUCUAGUUCCUCCUGAAGUUCCCGGAUGCGUCUCUGAAAGGCUUCCACCGGGUCGGGCUCCGGUGCUGCUGCGGCUGCGGCUGGUACGGCAGCUUCCUGUGGUGGCGCAAUUGCGUCGUCGGGAUUAAGUUGCGGCUCCUCAGCGGCGGGAAUCUGUGGCUGAUUGUGCCGACACGCCCGUUUCGCGGCGGGUGCUCCUGCACGGUUGUUCUGGUUUUCGGCCAUUGUAGAUAUUACUUUGGGUGUUUUUUUUUCUUUGAAGCGUCUCUUAGCCGUGGAUAGCUGUGAGUGUAGGUCUGCAAGGAGAUGUGUCCUGACUUUUAUAGUCAAGAAGAUCCUCACCCGUUGUUCACACCCGUUUUUUUGAGUUUGGUUUAUGUUUUCAACAUCUUCAUUAUUCCUUGGUGUCAGUUGAAUUGUUUCUUAAUGUCUCUAUUUUCGCUUAUUUGACGUAAAAAGAAACAGCGAUUGGUUUGUUUCUUCGUUCCCACCGUUCGAAUCGUGGUUCGUUCCUUUCCGCCACUUGCUUGGUUUAUUGGAUUAUUUUAGUGUGUUAAAGGUAGUAGAGAAAUAAGAAAAAGUGAAGGAAGACAACAGUACAGGUAAGGUUAUUUGUUUCCAUGGUUAUAACGCUGUCAUGCUACAUAGGUAUUUAAGUACUUGUCGGUGUUGUUUCGGAAUGGUAUUGGUUGUAUGGCGCAUACGCAUAGCGCGCGACGGCAACCCGGGAGUACCGCGUUCUAUACCCGUCAACACCUCAAUUCUUAAAAAUCCUACGGUAAGUUUUUCGGUUUACCAUUCACGAAGCUUGAUUAACUUCAAGGUAAUAAAGGUGAUCUGAUAUCACUAAAUAAUUGUUUUUCGUGUUUUAUCCUAAUUAUUAUUUUUCUUCCAAACGGAUGGGGUUUUUGUGUGGCCUCGAGCGUUGGCGAGGUGGCUCAGUCGGUAUAGCCUCUGCCUACGACUCGGGAGUCUCGAGUUCUAAACUCGCCAACAUGUUUUCUUUUUUCUUUUCUUUUUCGAGUAUUUAACGCUCAACCUAUUUCUUUUCCUUUGCCCUGGCGCAUAU